CAACAAUCAGCAGAGGAUGGACAAGCAGCCUUGAGGAUCAAACACUGAAGAGGACCCUUGAAAAAUAGCCUUUUAAAGUUGUGAAUGUAUUUAUACACAGCAUGGCUCAAAAAAUAUGAUAACAUACAAAAUAUGAAUGUCUAACUGCAUGUCUGUUUGCUACAUUAACACAUUCAUUUCUAUAUAAUGCACAAAAAAAAAAAAAAUGAAAUAAGCCGUUUCAAUCUGACUGACUGACUCUCUAUGCAUCUUCCAGGAGUUGGAGGAUGAUCACCUGCAAACGAAAUUUUGUGUGAAGAUACUAGAAUGAAUAUGUUUGAAGAAGAACUAAUUGCUUUGACAAUAUUCACCAGGAACAACUGGACUUCCUUCGCAGCAUCACUGAAGCAUCUGUUCAGAGGAAAGCAUGAGGUCAGUAGCGCUGGCCGUGUAGUUGCCAUGGCAACCGUUCUACAGCAGAUCGCUUUACAUUCUCCUGGUGCAUCACUACAAAUGUGUCUCACUCAACACAGAUAUUUUUACCCUCGACGAGAGCUGUCCUUCUGAAAGGGCUUGUGCUGAGAAGAAAUUCUUUAAAGCCCUGCGAUAUUGUGAUGCUUAUGUUUAUGUUCGAGAUCCAAGAAAUCUCAAUAUUGUAUGUGUAAAAUAAUCAUUUGAUUUUGAAGCUUUUAGCCUAUUAAUUGUCCUUUGAAUUUUUUGAUCUAUAAAUGAGCCAAAUCCCAGGCAUUAUUACAGAUUUCACCAUUCUAUAAGAUCUGUAUUGAUUUGUUUGUUAAAAACAAGCUUUUGUCACAAGACAUUAACUGAUGGACUGGAGUAGUGUGAAUUACUUGUGGAUUAUUGUGAUGUUUUUAUCAGCUCUCAUUCUGACGGCACCCAUUCACUGCAGAGCAUCCAUUGCUGAGACACUGAUGCAAUGCUACAUUUCUCCAAAUCUGAUGAAGAAACAAACUCAUCUACAUCACCUAUAGCAUGAGGGUGAGCACAUUUUCAGCAAAUCUUAAUUUUUGGCUGAACUAUCCCUUUCAACAUUAUUGCUGAUUUCAGCUUCAAAAAGAAAAGAAAUUAAGUAACCAAUUGAAUCAUUCAAACUCCUAUCGAAUGUAAUAACUCCUCUUCAUGAGGUAGCAAUGCCUCUAUCAGUACAUCACUUGAUAGGGAGUAUAUUUCUUUCUCUCUUGCAUCACCAAAUGAGUUGCAUCAUCCUCCCGCUGUGCAUGCAGUAACAUUACUCAUCGUGUGACAUGCAUGUGUUGUGUCUGGUCAUCUGAACAGAUUGCCUGGGAAACAUAACAGUGUCUUUGCCGGCUGCUCUGUUCUGAGAAAACAGCGUGUCAUGAGAACAAUGCCGUCAUUUGGCUCCGGAUGGGACUGUGCAAAUCAAUCGGCCUUUAAAUGGAGCGACACAAUCAGCAUUGGGUUUCCAUCACAUCAGAGUUCAGAUGCUUUGGCGAUGCAGGAAGGUAAAUGGUGGGUGUGUGAGGUUAUAUGGUUACCGGGAAAUGCGCAGUCAUGAUUGCAUCUGAUGUGGUGCAUGGGCUUGCAC
ensembl:lncRNA